UUUGGUGGCGAUAGCGAAGAGGUCACACCCGUUCCCAUACCGAACACGGAAGUUAAGCUCUUCAGCGCCGAUGGUA
rnacentral:rRNA from 2 species